rnacentral:lncRNA from 1 species
GUAUCAUAUACUUUUGCACAAUCCCCUGUCUGACUUAAGUAUCGGAGGGACGACGAGCACAAACAUCGUUGCCUUUGUUUCAGGUAUCGGAAGGCGCAGUUCGUGUUCCAUCUUAGUCCUCAAGCUCGGGAUCUACCAGGUACGAUUUUUGGUAGCAUCAUUGGCGCCGUCUGUGGGAAGUGCUACCAAAAGCCAUGAUGAAUACAUGAUCAGGUGUUCCACAAGCAAGCUCAUCUGUUCCAAAUCCUCCCCCUGAAGAUCAUCAUAUCCCUCAAGAGGAAUCAUCAGAGAUGACAGCACCACCACCUCAUUAUCGUCGGAGCUUUCGAAGAGCUCCGCCAACAAGUUACCGCAUUAACUCAGUUGUUAAGCCAAAGGAACUCACACCUAUCGCAUACACCGACGCCAAAAGGUGAUUUGAUGGCAGCUGCUCGAGUUCGGGCUUUACAAAAUAUUCCUGAUAACGAUGUUGGAACCUCGGGUGUACCUCCUAUGACCGCGGCCUCAACGGCAGUAACGAUGGAAUCAUGUGGACUUGCCAGAAUCAUCCAAGAAGGAAUUACCACGGGCCUAGCACAGAAAGCUAAGGGGACAACAGGCUUUACCCCUAGCACUCCCUUUACUCCUGAACUAUUAUCUUCCCUCUACCUGACAGGUUCAAGUACCUCCGUGUGAAAGAGUAUGACGGUACUACUGACCCUAUUAACCAUCUGAACAUUUAUACCGACAUCAUGAAUCUCCAAGUAGCCCCCGAUCAAGUUAUGUGUAGAGCUUUUCCUCAAACAUUGACCAACGCAGCCCAAGACUGGUUUUCAACUUUGGAGCCAAACUCCAUAGCCUCUUUCUCGGAUCUAGCCGACAAGUUCUCUGCCUUCUUCGCCAGUAGCAAGCGCAUCAGGAAAACAGCAGCUUCCCUCAUGCAACUUCGACAAGGGCAAAAUGAAUCCUUCGCAACUUCAUGACCAGAUUCAACAAGGAAAGACUCCAGAUUCCAGACCUCCAUAUCACAACCACAGUCCCGACCUUAACACAUGUCAUAAGGUGUGAAGCGUUCAAGAUGUCUUUAUCAAAAAUCCCUCCUACAUCAGUAACCGACCUACUUACUCGAGCCAAGAAGUACAUUAUCAUGGAAGAGACUAUGUUUCCAAAGAGAGAUGCCCCACCAUCAGCUAAGCCCGAGCUUAAAAGGCAGCAUGAGCUUAAUCUGCAUCAAGAUCGGCCUCGGGGUAAGACAAGGCAUGAUAACCCUUCAGCAGCCUUUACUCGCCUGAAUACCACAAGAUCUAACAUUUUGAUGAAGGUCAAGGAUAUGAAAGAGCUUAAAUGGCCGUCAAGGAUGAAGUCCUCUUCUAAACCCUGGGACAUGAACAAAUAUCGUGAGUUUCAUAUAGACCAUGGACAUACCACAGAGACAUGCAAAGCUUUACAGUACGAGAUCGAGUCUUUGAUCAAGAGAGGAUUCCUAGGGGCAUAUGUCGGUCAAGACAAGCAUUCGAGGAAUGAUCAUAACAAGGCAAAUACCUCAGGGACUUACAUGUUUUAAUGUCAUUGUCUAGAUGGUCAAUGCCAUACAUCUAAUGUACCAGGGUCUUACAUGUUUUUAUGCCCCAUUUAUUUUCAUUUCGUAAUUGGUAGGGCCUACGAGCCCAUUUUAUCUUUUAGCUGGUCGGGUCUGCGUGUCCAUAUUAGUUUGUUAGCUGGUCGGGCCUGUGUGCCUAUACUUUUCAGCUUAUUUCGGUUAGGUGUCGGGAUGCCAUCCCAAUAAAAAUCUACUCUUCCAACCCAUGAUAGCACAUGAAAGCCUUGCUCCGCUCAAAUACUCAAAGCUUUGUCCCGUGCAAGCACUCUAAGCCUUACCCCCGAGCAAGCACCUCUAAG